GAGCACAAACUUGUGCUUGGGGAAAGUUUGGAAGCUGUUCUCUAGACAUUAGCUGGUCCAACUUGCGGGAUAGUGCAUCUACUUUGUUAGAUAGACCUAUGGACUGGCUAACUUCAUAUAUGGUUCCUUUUCUUUGAGAACUCGGGGAUGCUUGACGAGUAGAGGAGGCAUGGUGGAGAGAAUUUUCAUUAAGGUUUUCAAACAAUUGCCAUGCCUCAUGUUCACUUUUAAGCAUGAAAGUACCCCCACAAGAAGCAUCAACCAUUUGAUGGUUUCGUUCAGACAGUCCGUCAUAAAAGCAUUGCACUAAUUGCCACUUGGGUAUUUGAUGAUGCGGGCAUUUCCGGAGUAAAUAUCUAAAUUUUUCUCAAGUUUCAUGAAAUUCUUCUCCGUCAGAUUGGGAGAAGCUCGUGAUAGCACGCCUAAAUUGGUUUGUUCUUCCUAUGGAAAAAUAUUUUUUUAGGAAUUCAUGUUGCAUUUGAACCCAA
rnacentral:lncRNA from 1 species